CCUACGGGUGGCAGCAGUGGGGAAUAUUGGACAAUGGGCGAAAGCCUGAUCCAGCCAUGCCGCGUGUGUGAAGAAGGCCUUCGGGUUGUAAAGCACUUUCAGUGGGGAAGAAAGCCUUGGGGCUAAUACCCUCGAGGAAGGACAUCACCCACAGAAGAAGCACCGGCUAACUCCGUGCCAGCAGCCGCGGUAAUACGGAGGGUGCGAGCGUUAAUCGGAAUUACUGGGCGUAAAGCGCGCGUAGGCGGUCUGAUAAGCCGGUUGUGAAAGCCCCGGGCUCAACCUGGGAACGGCAUCCGGAACUGUCAGGCUAAAGUGCAGGAGAGGAAGGUAGAAUUCCCGGUGUAGCGGUGAAAUGCGUAGAGAUCGGGAGGAAUACCAGUGGCGAAGGCGGCCUUCUGGACUGACACUGACGCUGAGGUGCGAAAGCGUGGGUAGCAAACAGGAUUAGAUACCCUGGUAGUC
rnacentral:rRNA from 1 species